UAAACCCCUAAACCCUCAAUGCGCGAUCCUCCAAUGGCGGAAGCUGAGCAGCAUUUCCUCCUCUCCUCAAGACCCAAAGCGGCAAAGCCCUCUGAAUUGAAGAGAAAUUCCCCGAAAGACGAUGCUUAAAGCAGUCUGUGGCCGUCAUCUCGACGCGCAUGUCAAAAUUCGAAGUCCCGGCCGCUGGACUCCUAAUCCUUCGGAUUCGUUCGCAUUUUCGCUUACUCCAUUCUUCCGACGGCGGAAAUUUUCGUUUUCAGCUCAAUCCGUUGAAGAAAUUGAGAUCAACAGCCGGGAAAACGCACAGCCGCUGAGUGCUUUCUUCACAGGAGAGGUCGGGCUUUCGAAGAAAACAGGAGAGACUGCGGUUAAAUUAGAAGGCGAUUGUGCAAAGUUAAAGGGUAAUUCGAGUGUGAAAAUUGGGCCUCGGCAGAGCUUGUCAGCGUUGUUCUCCAAAGGGAAGAAGGAGAAGGAGAAGGAGAAGGAGAAAGAAGUGAAAUUCGUGGAUCCAGUGGUUCACUCGUUGGUUUCUCCUGAUAUGCAACUGUUUGCCCGACAUUUGUACCUGAGAGGAUACUUGAAGGGUGCGAAUUUCAUCGGAAAACAAGGAUUUGAUUCGACUAUCUUCCAGGACAAUUACGCCAUAGGUUUCUUGAAGUAUGCUGCAGUGAACUUUGGAGAAGAUCACGCGGAGAUUGCCAAAUGGUUAUCCGCCAGCGAACUGAAGAAGAUAGCUCUCUUUGGUUGCCCAACCCUUUAUCGAAAAAAUGUUAAUGCAGCUAAAUAUUUGCGCUUGUUCUUUAACAUCGAGGAACAUGAGGUUUGUCAAAAAUGCACAUUGAGAAACACGUGCAAGCAUGCAGACAAGAAGCCUCGAGGUGAUUCCAGCAAAUUCAACUUGGCUACCGUGAACCGCAUCCUCACUGCCUAUGCUUUGGGCCCAAUUCCUCAAGAACUGGUAGUGUCUAAAGAAAUUAGGGAGUCAAUAAGUCGAUUACUGAAGGAGAUUAUAAAUCUCAGUCAAAAGGAUCAUGAGGGUGCGCGAUAACCCAUGCACUUAUCAGCAUAUGGUGAGGGGAACAAGGAAGGAGAGAAGUUUCACCAUGAAUCUGUUCAUUCUGUAUAUGGGAAUCAAUCCUAGAAAGAAUCUGCAUCCGCAUUGGAAGGUUCAGCCUGCAAAGAGAUGUCGGGAGUUUGAAUUCGUGACUUUACGGUCGCAACUCACAAGUUUACCCUCACGCACUACUAAACGAUCUCUCGUGUGUUGUGCUUAUUGUGCGUGGGGGGUUCUUAUUUUGUCGAUAAGGUAUCAUGGACGACUACUUGUGCCAUUAGACAAACUAAAAUGGAGGAUUGAAUUUUGAGUUGAGGUUUAAAUAGUAAAAAUUUUGAGUUUAAUAGCUGUACGAUGUCAUAUAAAUUGAUAUUGAUGUGAUGUUUGAAUGUAAAAUUAAUUUUUAAUAUCUUAUAGAAAAUGGAA